CAGUCGCCGCGGGAAUACGUAGGGUGCAAGCGUUAAUCGGAAUUACUGGGCGUAAAGCGUGCGCAGGCGGUUGGUUAAGACAGAUGUGAAAUCCCCGGGCUCAACCUGGGAACUGCAUUUGUGACUGGCAAGCUAGAGUAUGGCAGAGGGGGGUGGAAUUCCGCGUGUAGCAGUGAAAUGCGUAGAUAUGCGGAGGAACACCGAUGGCGAAGGCAGCCCCCUGGGCCAAUACUGACGCUCAUGCACGAAAGCGUGGGGAGCAAACAGGAUUAGAUACCCCGGUAGUCCCUGUCUCUUAUAC
rnacentral:rRNA from 1 species